AUUGUGGUGUUUAUUGUUCAAGUUGGUGUGGUUGUUUUUAAGCUGGUUGUACUGACUAUAAUCCCUUGCUUUCUCUGCCUUCUUUGCCUUAUUUCGUUUAUUGCGCUUUUUCGCCUUAUCGGCCAAUUUCUGCUGAGCUGCACCCCUGGAUUUCUUCGCAUCGUAUUCUGUCCAGUCUGACUUCCAUACAUUCCUGCUACCAAGUUUUCGCCACCCUGAGUUGUCCAUGGAGUUGUCCUUUUUGUUAUUUACAAUGUUCAACUCAGCUUCCAAAGAGGGAUAUGUUUCUAUCGAAGAAGAUGAAUUUACAGAAUUUUGGCUUGCGAUAAGAUUUGUUGACCAUGACUUCAGCUCAUCAAUAAUAUCAAACCCCAGCAUCGGGUUAUUGUUCAUUGUAGCUGAUGCAUUCAUGUCGAUGGUCAGCUGGUUUAGGUGCACACUUAAAAAAAUUCAUGUAAAUUUGCGCCACUUUGGAUGCACAUAUAAAAGCGACACAUAUGACGUAAAUUUGAACGCCCAAGUGACGUAAUUUUCAGUCACAUUAAACUGGAUUUUUCGUCAUAUGAAACGUAAUGAGUCACGAUUCCCAAAUUGUUUACGUCACAUUAAGCUCAAUUUUACAAGAAUGACGUAUAAUUAAGUCAAAAGACCUGUAAAUUUACGUCAUUAAACUGUCUACGUUCUGUGCAGUAAAUUUACGUCACGAGUAAUUUUGAUUUUUUCGUAGUGUGUGGCAUAUUUCGUCGUUUAUGCUUUGCAGCCCAUUGGAUAAGUUCGUUGACAUUUUUUGCAAUGAGUCAGCGAGUAUAUCAUUUGAUUUCUUUAUGGACAUAUCGCACAGCGAGGUAAUGUGGGUUUUCAAACUAGUUACACUACCGGCCAAGCUGCUUGUUUUGUUUAUUGCAGCUAGUUCAUUUUUAAUUGCGGACAUCAGGAUCUCGAGCCCCUCAAAUGCUUCAUGAAUAAAAGCAGGCUUCUCUUGUUGCAGCGCGAUUCUAUGUGUAACUUCGAUGUUAGAAUUAAUUUGCUCCGCCAAACAUUUCUGUUCGGUAAUGAGCCGUUCUAUGUCAAGCUUGUUUUGAAUGCGCUCUUGACAUGACUCACAGCAUGGUAGAAUGUAUAGAUAGUAGAGUAAACAUAGAUCCGCGGACAUCGCUGAGUGAAAUGUUUCAAGCGUGUGAAUAGUAUUUUUCAAGAGUGCGACGGUUGAAUAUGACGUCAUGCGCUCCAUGGGUGUUGUUGGAAUUAUGACGUCAUGCUCGUUUUGAUACAGAUUUUGACAGUUCGUUUGGAUACAAUGGAUUCAUCACCACGGAUCUAUGUUUACUCUACUAUCUAUAGUAGAAUGUAUGAACCAAACUCUACCGUCUACUUAUCUUUCCGGCGUAGAGAAUUUCGCUGCCUAUGCACGCAGCAUGGAAUUUACGUGGACAUCCCGCACAUGUCCACAACACUGAAUCCGCGUUACCGUCGAAAGCUACGAGUACGCUUUUUUAGGGAAAACGAGUUUUAAGAUUGAAAAAACCCUAGAUUUCAUGAUUUUUAACGCUAAUAUCACAGAUGUUGAGGGUCGCAGACAUCGCACAGGAAGUCCUAAAGGAUCUUGUAGUACGUUCGAUGCUUGCGUCAAUUGUAUCGACACCAGCCAGCUUGUGGAGAUCAUCGGGCGGAUACCACGGGUUCAGGUUGUAGACCAUCUUGAGCAGCUUGUUUUGCUUCACCUGAAGUCGUUUACGGUGCGAUUUGGCGCAGUUGCCCCAAACCGCGGACGCAUAGAUUAGCAUUGGCCGGAUGAUACACUUGACCACCAACAACUUGUUCUUCACGCGCAGCUUCGAUCGGCGACUCAGCAAAGAGUAUAGGGCUUUGGUCGACCGAUCCACCUUUCCAGCGAUGUAGUUUACGUGUUUACCGAACUUGAGCUUCUGGUCAAAAAUCACUCCCAAAUACUUUACUUCGUCAUCCCACGUAGUUUGCUGGCCAUUGACCAUGAUUGAUCGACGUGGGAAGUGACGAGCGACGCGUCUCCUGGUGAAGUAGAUGGACUCUUCCAAAUGAUAUUUCCUUAUUAACUUGAUUCUGAUUUAUCGACCGUAUUAUAUUUAUAAAAUAAUCAUUUUAUGGCUUUAUCGGUCUUUUUCUGCUCAGAGUAUAAGGGAGUAGAGAUCAAAGUGGCAUACUUGCCUAAUUUUACCUUCUAUAAAUAUUUUCACACUUGUUCGCAACCUAGCGAAUACUAAAUACACCAGCACACCAGGGUGCGAGACCGCCAUUUUUAAAAAUCCAACACCUUGUAUGUGAACAUUUGUGUAGCCACAAAGGAUUCCAUUGUGGAUACACGAUAGAUGUUGGCUCCUGUCAGAUGCAUUAGGUGGGAUUAGGGUUGCCACAUACGUGACUAAUAGUAUGGUACACGCUUGUAUGGAAAAAAUAAAUCCUCGCUCCAGUCGACUUUUUAGAUCCCAUUUAGGUCCCAUAUGAACUGUGCAAAAUUUCAGCGCAAUCGGUGAAACUAUAAUUUAGCGCAAUCGGUUCAAAGCUUUCAUAGGAUUUACUAUGGGAAAAGUUACACUUUCAGUUAAAAAGUCCCAGAGGUCGUUCCUUGUCUCCUUAAUUCAAAUCGAUCAAUGUUUCUUGUAGAAAAAUCAAUUAUGAAACUUUCCUUCGAAGACCGCAAAACAAUUGGCUUCUUUAGUGGUGUUGAGAUAAUUCCAUAUUCACAAUCUACAUGCCAAACUGAGCCGAAAUCCAAAUUUUCAUGAACUUUGGUACCCGGGAACCUAUUUAAAAAUCGAUUUAAAGUUUGUAUGGGAGCGAUUUGUCGAAUCACCCCUCGUCGCAUUUCGUACUGGGCGGAGCUGUCAAGCAGUUGCCCAGCUGUCAAAAGGUGAUUUCAAAAAAUCUUUUUGUAAUUGAAUUUAGGUAUCAAAAUAAAGUUUUAAAAAUCUGAAAAAAAUCAUACUGGCUUAUAAAAAGGUGCUCUUUCGAAUAAAAUCAAAAAAUCAAUAUAUUAUUCUUAAUUUAAAAACCCAAUUGGAUGCUUGUGGAAAAAGUUAUUGAUUUAUUACCGAUUAGUGAUCCAACGAACGGCUUUUUAUUUAGUUUUAUCAGCAGCACUGCUGCUGCCGUUGUUGCAUGGGGUGGCGGGAGGCAUCACCGGCAUCACCACCCCCAGAAACAGCAGCAGCCAAGGCAGCAGCUACAGUGCUGCUAAUAAAACAAAACAAAAAGCCGAUCCUUGGAUCACUAAUCGGUAAUAAAUCAAUAACUUUUUCCAAAAGCAUCCAAUUGUUUUGCGGUCUUCGAAGGAAAGUUUCAUAAUUGAUUUUUCUACAAGAAACAUUGAUCGAUUUGAAUUAAGGAGACAAGGGACGACCUCUGGGAUUUUUUAUCUGAAAGUGUAACUUUUCCCAUAGUAAAUCCUAUGAAAACUUUGAACCGAUUGCGCUAAAUUAUGGUUUCACCGAUUGCGCUGAAAUUUUGCACAGUUCAUAUGGGACCUAAAUGGGAUCUAAAAAGUCGACUGGAGCGAGGAUUUGAUAUUUGUCCCAUACUAGUGACUAAAUAUCAUAUCUAUCAUUUUCAUUAUCCACUUUGAUCUCUACUCCCUUAUACUCUGAGUAGAAAAAGACAGAUAAAGCCGUAAAAUGAUUAAUUUAUAAACUAGGAUACCCCUCGUGAACAUCUGGCGCUACAGUCAACUUUCGCUCGUUGCACUAGGGCUACCAACCUUGACAAAUCGUGCUUCACGUCAAAAAGUGACGUUUGACUUCGUUUUAACAUAGAGAUGAGCGGAAGUUACAUAUGUCGAUUCGGCAACGCUGUUUGUUUUGUUUACAACAGCUUCCAACACUUGCCACAAACAUAGAUGUUCAAACUUUUUGCGUGACUUUAUUGUGGUGCAAGUUGUUUUGUUUACGUUUGCUAAUUAUAUUCGAACUUUUUUUUCCAAAAUUUUGAAAAAAUAACAGUGCAAUCGAAGAAAUCUGGAAUGCAUUGCAAGGAAUAGCGCGAAUCAAAUCGGCAGAAGUGGAUCAAGCAGCAGCAAUGAAAGUUUUUUCGAGAAGAGCAGCGACAAAAGUUUCUUCAUGAGCAUACGCUUUUGAAAGCAGAAUUAAUAAAAUAUUAUAUUCUUACUAAAUUUACAUAUGCCGUCUAAUUCUCCAUAGUAAAAAUAAAUAUUUGUAAUACGUUUAUUGUCGAUUGCAAUACCGUUCAAACAACGCCUUUCUACAAACGAUAAACAUGCUCAUUUGGCUCACACUUUGACAGUUCUCUCUGCUCGAUAGGCUCACAAUGGCCGCCUCCGCACAUCUCUAUAAUGUAGGAUUACUAGUUUUAACUGGGCUAUAGCUCACCUAACGGCCGCCCAGUUAAAACGAAGCUCACCUAAACGUAGCCCAACGAACGAAAGUUGACUGUAUUUACCUGUAUAUAACUUGGCUACAUUGUUGUAGAAAUAUGAUUUACGCGAGGAGAAAUACGAUGCAACUGAUUUGCUUUAAAAUUCGCACCUAACUAAAUAAAUAUUAUUUUUUUAAAUAAAUUUUAUUUUUCAAAAUCACUUAAGUUUUCCAUACCAUAUUCAUGGUGAAUAUCAAUUAGCAUAUUUCGAAGGUAGUCCGUGACAUUUACCUUAAAUAUUAAAAAAAGGAGCGGGUUUUCUAUGACUUUCUUGUUGAACUGGUCUAGCCGCACAAGUUUUUCAUAUAUAAUAUUCUCAGAUUGAGCUUCUAAAAUAAGAUGGUUGAAUUAAGAUAUGUCGAAAUGACAUUUUCAGCCUUGCAACGGAGCUUAGAGGCACACCACAACGCGCUUAAGGCUCAAAUAAUCAUCAUUCAAUCAUCAACUAUUGAAAAGCAGUUUUUUCGCUCAAAUCCGCAGAGCCACUAUUAAAAAUGAUUUCACUGUUAUCUAGAUGGAAAAUAAAGUGCAGUGAUAAACUUUUAUUACAACUGGAUAAAAUUCGAGCGAGAAAAUUUUAAUGUAUAACACUGGGAUGGAAAAUAUGUUCAUAAAACAAUGGUAAAAAAUCGCCUUUUAAUGCUUACGUUUAAACCAACGCAUUGCUUAGAAAAAUAUACUUAAGUCAGUUUAAUCAGUUAAUUGAAUUGAGUGAGUAGUAAAUAUGUAUAAUUUAAGUAACUUCAAUAACUAUAUACUGGUUUGAAACAUUUUUGAACACAUUGAGUACAUUUUUUGUCGGUAUUUAAGCGAUAUCUGAACAUGGAUUUCUUUGAAAUUUCUUAGUAUGAAACAUCAAAUCGAGAUUACUUAAGAUUCCUCCUUGGGAUUAUUUUAAAAAUUUGCCCAGAGGUGCAGAAUGGCACCAGGAUUCGAUCCCAGAACUUAGUUUUGAUGGGCAUUUUUAUUUUAUAAUAAUGGUCUGUGGGGGCACCGUGCCAAUGGAACGAUACUUCCAAGCGCGGCUUGGGAAAACCACUGCUCUAGCAAAACGCACUUGCACCUUGAAAAAAAAACACUGGAAUUGGGUGAAAACUGAGGAGAAGCGUCCGGGUGAAAC